UGGGGAAUAUUGCACAAUGGGCGCAAGCCUGAUGCAGCGACGCCGCGUGCGGGAUGGAGGCCUUCGGGUUGUAAACCGCUUUUGUUCAAGGGAAUAAAGUGAGAGUCGUGACUCUUUUUGCAUGUACCUUAUGAAUAAGGACCGGCUAAUUCCGUGCC
rnacentral:rRNA from 1 species